rnacentral:tRNA from 1 species
GCAAUGGUGGUUCAGUGGUAGAAUUCUCGCCUUCCAGGCAGGACACAUGGGUUUAAUUCCUAGCCAGUGCA